ensembl:lncRNA
CAUUUUCCAUGACUUGAUUCCCCACCGUGAGUUCUGGGCCACAACCCAGUUGGCUCCCUCCCUCCCUCCCUCCUGCUCCGUGAGACAGAGCUGGCAGGAGGGGAUGAUCCGCCUCAAUUCUCCCACCUCCUUUUCCCUCCUCCUCCUCCUGGGCUGGGACACACCUACUCCAACUUUCUCAGCAGCCUCUUUGAGUGUGCGCCUUCCUGCUCUGAGACUCCGCGCCUCCCUCCGGAGCUUGUCAGCCCGGUGCUCUUGAAAGGGACUCCUGCCCAGCGGCCCACUCUGGGGCACCCUCCCCCACCCAAAGGGCCCAGAUCAGGAGAGAGUCCUGCUUGCUAUGUGAGUGGUCAGCCUCAGAGGCCAAGGAAUUGCCCCCAUACCCCUGGAAGCAAUUUGGGAUGAAGAACAAGGUGGAUCCCUAAACUGUAAGAUGCCUUUCAGGGGACAAGGGACAUACACAUCAUCAAUCAGACCCCUCCUCCAACCCCCGCCAACACAUACACACACACGUACACACCUGCACACCAUCCCCUCACUAUUGCCAGAGAGUCAGUAAGAAUCUGCACCUGUACAAGUGGAGGGCUCAGGAGUUCCCUCAAGUCUCCUUUAAGAAUUAUUGGGUCCAUUCUAAGGAAAUCCCCAAAAGAGGGGAUAAAUGCAUACAUAUAGCUGAUUUACUUUGCUGUACAGUGGAAACUAACACAACAUUGUAAAUGAACUAUACUCCAAUAAAAAUUUCAAAACAGAAUUAUUGGUUCCAUUUUACAAUGGAAAUUUGUAAAUUGGUUCCAUUUUACUUGCCUAAAGUCAGUAGCCAGCUUUCGAUGGGUCCUGGGCCUAAGCGCAGCCCUGAACGUUGAAUGCUGAAGAGAGAACUCUCAAUGUACUGAGCCCCUUGAACCACCAGGUUAGACCAUGUUGCCUGUAUCUUCUCUUCUAGUCUGCAUGACCUCCCUGCAGGCCUGUGACUGUGAUCCUGAACCACUUCUUCUUGCUGUUGCUAUUAGUUUCCAGCGUGGACAUGAAUAGAGACUCAGAAAAGCUAAGCCACUUCCUUUCAGUAGCACAGCUUCUGUUUUCUCAACAGAUCCUUAGUUCAACAGACAUUUAGUGCUUAUGAUGUAUCAGGCCUCCAGAGACUCACAGCUGGCGGAGGCAGGUCUGUAAGUGGAUGGUUUAAUACCUUGAGGUAGGUGGUAAAAUAGAGGCAAAUUCAAGCAGGCAGAGGGGCCCGAGGAACCAUACACAGUUAGCCUAGUACGGAGUUAGUGGAGGAAGGCUUCUAGGAGUAGCUGGGACUGAAUAUCAGUUUUGAAGACUAAAUAAGGCUUAAAUAAAGAAAAAAAGUGGGAAAGGCAAUUCAGAAAGAGAAAGUAGCACUCGCAAAAGCAUAGCAGUUAAAGAAAACAGCAUGAGUGUGCAGGCAACUGUCAGCUGGGUAGGGAAUAUUUGGGGAUGUGCUCCGAAAGGCAAGACGGGGCCACAUCACUUAAGGCCACGUAUGUCAGGCCAAGGAGUGUGACUUUACAUAUAUAUAUAAAUAUGAUGAUGGUCCACCAUUACCCACUGGCUGACAAACUACCUCCUGAAAGAGGCGAUGCCUCAAGCAGUUUCCAGUUUGGGGCCUGCAGAAGAAAGAAAUGUCUCCUCUGCCUGCCCCACCCCACUCCUGAGUCCUUCUCCAUUCCUGAGACUGGUGGGGGCCCCUGCAAGUUGACCUGGGAUGGCAGGUAAACGACAACUGCCCAUUCCCUGGCCGGGGGGCAGGGAACAGCUACGGAGAAUUCUCCUGUUCCCAGUUCCCGUUCAGUUCCAGCACCCACAGCACUUGGCCUCGGUGCCAGUUGAGCAGGAUUGCACAUGCCAGUUGUGGGGUAACGUCAGCAUGUAUGUGCGUGUUGGCCCGUGUGUGCUCACAUGUCCCAGGUGAGAGCUGCUGUUUGUGCCUGAAGCACCCCCUUCUCUCUGGGUCCUCCCAGCAAAUGCAAGGCUAGAUGGCACAAAACACAUCACUGGGAUACUUAAACACUCAGCCUUGGGAAGUAGCAGAGCUUGAUGCCAGUAUGGCGCCAUGGUUGGCACACCAGCUCUGGAGCCAGGGCACUCGAGUUCUGGUCCUGGCUUUGCUGCUUUCCAGCUCUGUGACCUUGAACCCAUCAUUUCAUGUUUCUGAGGGGUUUAGGGUGGAUAAAGCUAUCCACCUCACAGAGUUGCUGUGAGUUGAUCCAUACAAAGCUCUUAAGAUCUUAGCAUAGCAGUCAGCGCAUACUAAGAGCUCACUAAACGUUAGCUACUAUUACAGAUUUGGGGGCUCCUGCUGUCUUGGAACUGACUUAGAGAAUCAGAGCACUGUGGAACAUUCAAAUUCUAGAAUCUCAAACUCUGAGAAGCAUAUAAUUAGAAGAACUCUAUUGGAUUUUUUAUGCAAAUCUCUACUCUAUGUAAAGAUUGCUUCUACAGUGUCUCUGAUGGAUGGUCAGCCUGAUUUUUUUUUUUUUUUCCUUUUCGCAAACAUUCUAAAAGAAGAUACAUCAAUUGUAAGUUAUAGCUUAAUGAAUUUUUACCAAGUGAAUGCAAACAGUGGCUAACCAGGAUCCAGAGCAAAAAGCAGACACCACCCUGUCCCCACUAGAGCCCUCCAGAUACUCCUUGUCAGUCACUGCCCCCCACCCUAAGCAUAGCUAUCAUCCAGUCAGACAGGCUGUUCUCAAAAAUAUUCUUGAGGGCUUGUGUACCAUUGUUAGGAGGACUCUAAUUAUUAGAGAGAUUCCAUGAGCUAUUUGGAAGUUACUAAAUGAAGUUUUACACUUAAAUUAUUUUGUUUUUACUGUCAUAUUUCAGUGGAAGCAUUGUUUAGAGCUGAACAUCCCAAAUGGCUAGGGCUGUCUUUUAAAAAUAUGGAUUUCUCAGCUGCAUCCUGAGUCCACAUCAUCCGAAUGUGUGGUCUGGGGGUGAAGCCAGGGGAUCUGUAUUUUUACAAGCUCCAAGGGAACUCCAGCUGGGUUUGGGAACCAUUGGACUAGCAGUUCAGAGUUUGGUCUCAACUCAGACCGUUUCUUCCAAUCCAUGCCCCAUACUUAAUGGACACUGAUCUUGGAUAAGGCACUUGGACUUUCUGAUCUUUGAGCUUUUUCAUUUGUAAAAUAUGCACGAAGUGAUAGUACUACUUCCUUGGGUUAUUGAAGGACUCUGAGGGACAGUGCUCACUAACUGAUUGCUCACGGAUACUGACAGAUGCUUAGCAUUGCUAUUACUUGGAAGAAUCCAUCUGUGGUGUAGCCAAGGGAGUGUUGGAUUUUUCAUCUGAAGCCUCGUGUUUAAGUCCUGGCCGGGCAGCUUGCUAGCUCUUGCUAGCUUUGGACAAGUCUUUUGAUCCCUAUCUUAGGGCCUCAACUUCCCCAUCUAUAAAACGGAAAUAUUUCUUGCUCUAUACGUAGGGUCUUUGAGAGGAUACAAGAAGAACAUGGUCCAGAAACCUGCUCUGAGGACAGAAAAAUGCUGCAUGAAGCAAGCCCUAAUGAACUGUGAACUCAGCUGAACCUGGGAACCCAGUACAAAAUGGGCUGUCAUUGUCCUUGCGGUUCUAGGGAGGGCGGGCCAUGCGGAGGUGGGGAUAGGGAAAUGCUGAGGCAUUGGUUUUCCACAGCCCUCAUAUGCUCUGGCAUGGUGCCCAAGCUCUCAGGUUCUGAGAACUGUCUCCUUCCUCGUUCCUGGGAAAGGAAGAGUCCACGAUCCCACAGUCAUGAAAUCCCAUGUAAUCUGCCAUAGUCAGAAGUCAC